CAGCAGCCGCGGUAAUACGGAGGGUGCAAGCGUUAAUCGGAAUUACUGGGCGUAAAGCGCACGCAGGCGGUUUGUUAAGUCAGAUGUGAAAUCCCCGAGCUUAACUUGGGAACUGCAUUUGAAACUGGCAAGCUAGAGUCUUGUAGAGGGGGGUAGAAUUCCAGGUGUAGCGGUGAAAUGCGUAGAGAUCUGGAGGAAUACCGGUGGCGAAGGCGGCCCCCUGGACAAAGACUGACGCUCAGGUGCGAAAGCGUGGGGAGCAAACAGGAUUAGAUACCCGGGUAGUCCCUGUCUCUUAUAU
rnacentral:rRNA from 1 species